CCUGAUGUAUUCCCAUCAGUACCCUAAGGAGGCAUGCUACCAUUGUGCUGAUGAUGAGGUGUGAAGCCCUCCCGACAAGAAUGGGAGG
rfam:Candidatus Brocadia fulgida BROFTL_contig000176, whole genome shotgun sequence.